rnacentral:rRNA from 1 species
AUUGAACGCUAGCGGGAUGCCUUACACAUGCAAGUCGAACGGAGUUGCGAACGGGUGAGUAAGGAAUCGGAACGUGCCCAGUAGCUGGGGAUAACUACGCGACAGCGUACCUAAUAUCGUAUCCGAUUUGAGCGGCCUUUGUCGGAUUGGCUAGUGGGUGGGGUAACGGCUUACCAUGGCGACGAACCGUAGCUGGUUUGAGAGGACGACCGGCCACACUGGGACUGAGACACGGCCCAGACUCCUACGGGAGGCAGCAGUGGGGAAUUUUGGACAAUGGGCGAAACCCUGAUGCAGCCAUCCCGCGUGAGCGAUGAAGGCCUUCGGAUUGUAAAGCACUUUUGGCAGGAAAGCGGUACCUGCAGAAUAAGCACCGGCUAACUACGUGCCAGCAGCCGCGGUAAUUC